rnacentral:rRNA from 1 species
UACGUAGGGUGCAAGCGUUGUCCGGAAUUAUUGGGCGUAAAGAGCUCGUAGGCGGUCUGUCGCGUCUGCUGUGAAAACUCAGGGCUUAACCCUGAGCUUGCAGUGGGUACGGGCAGACUAGAGUGGCGGUAGGGGAGACUGGAAUUCCGUGGUGUAGCGGUGAAAUGCGCAGAUAUCAGGAGGAACACCGGUGGGCGAAGGCGGGUCUCUGGGCCGUAAC